rnacentral:rRNA from 1 species
CAAUCAUAAAAGGUGGCUUUUAGCUACCACUUACAGAUGGACCCGCGGCGCAUUAGCUAGUUGGUGAGGUAACGGCUCACCAAGGCGACGAUGCGUAGCCGACCUGAGAGGGUGAUCGGCCACACUGGGACUGAGACACGGCCCAGACUCCUACGGGAGGCAGCAGUAGGGAAUCUUCCGCAAUGGACGAAAGUCUGACGGAGCAACGCCGCGUGAGUGAUGAAGGUUUUCGGAUCGUAAAACUCUGUUGUUAGGGAAGAACAAGUACCGUUCGAAUAGGGC